rnacentral:rRNA from 1 species
UAAAACCGCUUAGUGGAUGACUAGGCUUGGGUGCCUUUGAAGGGCGUGGCAAGCUGCGAUAAGCCACGGCGAGCCGCAUGCAGGCUUUGAACCGUGGAUACCCGAACUGUUCCUCAAGGAACGGGAACGCCGGGAACUGAAGCAUCUCAGUACCGGCAGGAAGAGAAACCAAUAGGGAUUCUGCCAGUAGGGUCGACCGAAGACAGAACAGGACAAACCGAAUCCUUUGCCGCGAGGCAUCGGAGAUGUGGGGUUUGGACCCAGUUACAUCUUUUUUCAGGAGCAGAAGUAAACUGGAACGUUUUGCCGCAGAGCGUGAAAGCCGCGUACGCAAACUGAAAAAAGUUGAUUGCAGGGUAUCCAGAGUAUGGCGCGUCGGAUAUCGCGUCAAAACACGCGAGGCAUAUACUCGCAAUCCUAAACACUACCCAAGUCCGAUAGCUCACUAGUACCGUGAGGGAAAGUUGAAAAGUACCCCUGACGGGGGGUUAAAAGCGCCUGAAACUAAGCGGCCAUUGGCGGGCAAGGCACGGAAGAGGUAAAGCAUGCCCAAAUGAGGCGGAGCGAUCCGCGGAAUGAAGCAUGUGACUCAGUGUCUUGCCGUUCGUCCCGAAACACGAGCGAGGGAGUUGACUGUUGUGGCGAGGUUAAUCUCUUACGGAGAGAAGCCGCAGCGAAAGCGAAUGCCUGCAAUCCCGCAAGGGACGAGGGGCAGGGUGUGAAUAGCGCCCGAGUCACGGCGGUCAAACCUGAAACCAGGUGAUCUAUUCCUGUGCAGGCCGAAGUCUCCCAUCAGGGGGAUGGAGGGCCGAAACCGGUGCUAGUCUAACUGCUCGGGUGACAUGGGAAUAGGAGUAAAAUGCCAUUCGAACCUGGUGAUAGCAGGUUCCCCCCGAAGUUGCCCUUAGGCAAGCCUCAGCAGAGGUGGCUUGUGGGGUAGAGUUACUGAUUAGAAAGUACUGAUUGGAAACUUUCAGCUUUCUUCUCAAACUCCCAAUCUGCAAGCGCCAUAGAAGCUGGGAGUAGGGGUAUCCGGGGUAAACUUGAUAUCCUUAAGGGGAACAACCCAGACUCGGGUUAAGGCCCAUAAAUGCGGAUUAAGUGUGAAAGGGUGAAAAGCGUCCUUUUCCUAAAACAAUGUGGAGGUAGGCUUAGAAGCAGCCAUCCUUUAAAGAAAGCGUAACAGCUCACACAUCUAGGGGAAGGGCCUUGAAAAUAAUCUGGGCUAAAAUCCGCUGCCGAUACCCGGGAAUUUGCGCUGAGCGCAAUUUGGUAGGGGGGUGCUCCGGUAGAGCAGAAGCAGGGGAGCAAUUUCCUGUGGAUCUGCCGGAGAUAUGGAUCCUCGUGCUAGUAAUAACAAAGAGAGGUGAGAAUCCUCUCCGUCGAAAGGGCAAGGGUUCCUUAGCGCUAAUCGUUAGCUAAGGGUUAGCCGGUCCUAAGUUUCCCCGUAAUGCGGUGGAAACGAAAGGGAAACGCGUUCAUAUUCGCGUGCCACAUGGAUACGAUCUCGGCAACGAUAGGUAGUUUUCAGACGCCUUGGGCUAGAUCCAGCAGCAUUGCCAUGCUGCCUAAAAUGCAUAGGCCCGUGGAGAGCCGUAAUGGCGAGAAGCGGGGCAAAGCAUUGAACGGGAGAAAUCUUGGAUUGAGGCCUUGGGCCCGUGAAAAUGGAAACUGCAAGAAUUCCAUGUGACCGUACCAAGAACCGAGAAGGGUGCCCCUGGCUGAAAAGGCCAAGACGUGUCAGGGCAUAAAUCUGUUCAGGGAAUUCGGCAAUAUUGGCCCCGUACCUUAGGUAUAAGGGGUGCCUGCAGUGAAAACUGCAGGUUUCAAUAACCAGAGGGAUCCGACUGUUUAUCAAAAACACAGGAGGCUGCUAGCCAGCAAUGGUUUGCAUAGCCGCUGACUCCUGCUCACUGCCAGUACGUGAAACCCCGGUUCAACGGGUCUAAGCGCUGGUGAAGAGCGGGCCUAACUCUGAGGCUCUCAUGGUAGCAUGAUGCCUUGCCGGUUGAUUGCCGGCUUGUCCAACGGAGUAACGAGAUCCCCACUGUCCCGAACAGGUGCCUGAUGAACUUGCUGCGCGGUGAAUAUGCCGCGGAAUCCCAAUGGGAAGAGAAGACCCCACGGAGGUUUACCACAGCCUGUUGUUGUGGUAUGGUUUCCAAUGUCUAGCGUAGAUGGGAGCGCAGAAGGAAUUUCGCCAGGAAUUCUGGAGCAACAAUGAAACACCAUCCUUUGGAAACCGUACCGCUUACCCGGAAGGGGACACCGAUAGGUGGGUGGUUAGGCUGGGGCGGCACGCCCCUGAAAAGGUAUCAGGGGCGCCCAAAGGUGCGCUCAGGCGAGUCAGAAAUUCGCCGUAGAAUGCAAAGGUAAAAGCGCGCUUGACCAUGAACUACACAGCAAGGUUCGUGGAUGCGAAAGCAGGGCUUAGCGAACGUCAGAAGCGCCUAUAUGGCGCUCUGGUCUAACAGUGAACUUACCCUGGGGGUAACCGAGUGGUCGCGGGUGAGAGUUCACAUCGACCCCGCGGUUUGCGACCUCGCCGUCGGCUCUUGGUAUCCUGGCAGUGCACAAGCUGCCAAGGGUGCAGGUGUUAACUGAUUAAAACCGAACGUUAGUUGGGUUAAGAACGGUGCGAGCCAGUUUGGUUACUAUCUAUUGGGGUUGCUGAGUGUCUGAGGGGAAGGAGCUCUGAGUACGAGAGGAACGGAGCCUCGUGGCCUCUAGUAAACCAGUUGUCCGGCAGGGCACACGCUGGGUAGCCACGCCAUGGCUUAUAAGAGCUGAAAGCAUCUAAGCUCGAAGAAGCCCCUGAAAAGAGACACUCAAUCCUAAACCUUCAGCGGUAAAACGCUGAAAAUUAGGGACAAGGGUACCGGCAAAAGACCGGAUCGAUAGGCUGGAAGUGUAAGCAUCAAGCUUCGGCGAGAUGUUAAGCUAACCAGCACUAAAAACCCGAG